AGUUUUAUUAAAGAAGUGAUUUAUUUCAAUCCUCAGGAUCUGAUUCUCCCACUAUGCCUAACAUAUAGAACCACCACCAGGACAAGGAAGAGCAAUUAACCCAGUGUGGUAUGAAUGUACUUUCCUUCGUUAUUUGGUAUGGUGAUGGAGAGAGAAAAUUAGAAGCCUGUGACUCAUCUUAGUCUGCCAUCAUUCAGAGAUUUUUCAUUUGCAAUUAGUGAGUACCUCUUGUUGGAAAGAGUUUUGCUUUUGUUGUAAUCAUUUUGCUUUCAGAUUUCUGUAGGUUAGAAAUGUAGUGACAACAUUUAGCUCUAAU
rnacentral:lncRNA from 1 species